rnacentral:ribozyme from 2 species
UUUUUUUUUUUUUUUUUUUUUUUUUUUUC